rnacentral:rRNA from 1 species
GAAUAUUGGACAAUGGGCGAAAGCCUGAUCCAGCCAUGCCGCGUGUGUGAAGAAGGUCUUCGGAUUGUAAAGCACUUUAAGUUGGGAGGAAGGGUAGUAACUUAAUACGUUGCUACUUUGACGUUACCGACAGAAUAAGCACCGGCUAACUUCGUGCCAGCCGCCGCGGUAAUACGAAGGGUGGAAGCGUGAAUCGGAAUUACUGGGCGUAAAGCGCGCGUAGGUGGUUCAGUAAGUUGGAUGGGAAAUCCCCGGGCUCAACCUGGGAACUGCAUCCAAAACUGCUGAGCUAGAGUACGGUAGAGGGUAGUGGAAUUUCCUGUGUAGCGGUGAAAUGCGUAGAUAUAGGAAGGAACACCAGUGGCGAAGGCGACUACCUGGACUGAUACUGACACUGAGGUGCGAAAGCGUGGGGAGCAAACAG